GAUCUGAAAAAUUAUUAAUGAGGGCAGUACGGAUACCUAACCAGUUCUCUGGUAUGCCAUUUGAAUUUAUGGUCCUGGCGGCAGGACCAGUUAUUUUAUUUAAUAUACCAUUUAUUAAGCUGAGGUUAUUUAAUUCGUUGCCAGGAUCU